ensembl:miRNA xtr-mir-181b-1 xtr-mir-181b-1
AAGGUCACAAUCAACAUUCAUUGCUGUCGGUGGGUUGAGUUAAGAACACAAGCUCGCUGAACGAUGAAUGCAACUGUGUCCCC